UCCAGCCCACCACAGCCCAGCCACCUUGCUGAACUGAGAAGAGAACACACCUACUUCUCGAUUCCAUAUUGGCAGAUGAGAAAACUACAUUUAUAUUCCACCCACCUGGAUGACUCUUGCCUAGGCCCCUCCCCUGCCCCAAAGCAAUGAGAGCAAAAGGCCGUCACCAGGGAAUGACACAGAGCUCAGCUACGCCUCCUAUGCCUCCCCUUCCACCCUCCCAUCUGUCCAUGUGACCUGAAUAGCAAGCCUGCACAGAGAUGAGAGCAUGCCAAAUCAGCUGUGCCCAGCUGAGAGCCUCAGAACUCUGCACCAGAAGCCAAAACCAAUAGGAUAUGCAGCAUCCUGCCUAGAGGCUGUGGUACCUACCUGAUC